CCUUUUGUUUUUUUUGUAUGUGUUCAACCUUUUUGUUUCUUUUGACGUUUCAGCGUCUCUUUGUGUUUGUUGUGUGACAACUAUUAGGCUCGAGUUCCAGACUCCCUAUUAGUUUGUCAAUCCGAUAACCUUUUCUUUGGUGUUCGCUGGUUAGCGUGUGCUAUUGUUUGGAGUCGGGUGUAAGUCCAUGUAUUGGCAUUAUGUUUCCUUGUUUGUGUGGGUUUUGCU
rnacentral:lncRNA from 1 species